rnacentral:rRNA from 1 species
CAGUAGCCGCGGGAAUACGAAGGGGGCUAGCGUUGUUCGGAAUUACUGGGCGUAAAGCGCGUGUAGGCGGGUCCUUAAGUCAGGGGUGAAAUGCCAAGGCUCAACCUUGGAACUGCCUUUGAUACUGGGGAUCUUGAGUCCGGGAGAGGUGAGUGGAACUGCGAGUGUAGAGGUGAAAUUCGUAGAUAUUCGCAAGAACACCAGUGGCGAAGGCGGCUCACUGGCCCGGAACUGACGCUGAGACGCGAAAGCGUGGGGAGCAAACAGGAUUAGAUACCCGCGUAGUCCCUGUCUCUUAUAC